rnacentral:rRNA from 1 species
AGUGAACGCUGGCGGUAGGCCUAACACAUGCAAGUCGAACGGCAGCACAGUAAGAGCUUGCUCUUACGGGUGGCGAGUGGCGGACGGGUGAGGAAUACAUCGGAAUCUACUUUUUCGUGGGGGAUAACGUAGGGAAACUUACGCUAAUACCGCAUACGACCUACGGGUGAAAGCAGGGGAUCUUCGGACCUUGCGCGAUUGAAUGAGCCGAUGUCGGAUUAGCUAGUUGGCGGGGUAAAGGCCCACCAAGGCGACGAUCCGUAGCUGGUCUGAGAGGAUGAUCAGCCACCCUGGAACUGAGACACGGUCCAGACUCCUACGGGAGGCAGCAGUGGGGAAUAUUGGACAAAGGGCGCAAGCCUGAUCCAGCCAUACCGCGUGGGUGAAGAAGGCCUUCGGGUUGUAAAGCCCUUUUGUUUGGAAAGAAAAGCAGCAGGUUAAUACCCCGCUGUUCUGACGGUACCCAAAGAAUAAGCACCGGCUAACUUCGUG